rnacentral:rRNA from 1 species
GGCUGUCGUCAGCUCGUGUUGUGAAAUGUUGGGUUAAGUCCCGCAACGAGCGCAACCCUUAUCCUUUGUUGCCAGCGGUCCGGCCGGGAACUCAAAGGAGACUGCCAGUGAUAAACUGGAGGAAGGUGGGGAUGACGUCAAGUCAUCAUGGCCCUUACGACCAGGGCUACACACGUGCUACAAUGGCGCAUACAAAGAGAAGCGACCUCGCGAGAGCAAGCGGACCUCAUAAAGUGCGUCGUAGUCCGGAUUGGAGUCUGCAACUCGACUCCAUGAAGUCGGAAUCGCUAGUAAUCGUGGAUCAGAAUGCCACGGUGAAUACGUUCCCGGGCCUUGUACACACCGCCCGUCACACCAUGGGAGUGGGUUGCAAAAGAAGUAGGUAGCUUAACCUUCGGGAGGGCGCUUACCACUUUGUGAUUCAUGACUGGGGUGAAGUCGUAACAAGGUAACCGUAGGGGAACCUGCGGUUGGAUCACCUCCUUA